GCUCGAGCCGCGGACAGAAAGAGAUGGUUGAUCUAUGGUGGAAAAGCUAACGCGACAGUAGCAGCGUUUUGUGGAGAAAUUCGGAGAUUUGAUAUUGAGAGAUUGAAGGCUGUGAACCCUCGUGAGCUGGAAUUCCCCUUGCUGCGCGUGGUGCUUAGCAUGGUCGGGGUUUUUUUUUGGAUCGGAUUUGGAAAUCUUGAGAAGAACCAAGGAUCAACUUCCAGCACUUGAUGCUGCAGACCCUCCUCUGGUCACCAUGACGAUCCUCCACAUGAAGGUUAAACCAUCCAGCUGCUGAUGGACAGAAUCUGAUGUUCUCUGCUUCGGUUUGACCUCCAUGAAAGCUACAGAAGAGUCCAGAUGAGAAAAACAUCAUUACCUGGUCUCCUGUUCAACCAUCCAGCUCUGCCCUGGGCGACGUAAAGCUUCCUACUGGUCCACUUAAACGGCUCUAACCUGCCAUCAGGUAACAGCAGGCUGCAGAUUUAGCAGCUGUUCGGUGCAUUAAGGGGAAGAAUCUGCUGUGAGUCUCCUGCACACAUAACCAGAGGCUGGAAAUGUCAAGUUAAAAUCCAGCUCUCAUGUUCUACCUGACAGGUGAGUGUGUGGGCAGCAGGUAGAGGAGAUGGCUGGCAGACAGAGCAGCUCUUAUGUUCAGUGAGUGAAUCUAAACUGACUGCUGCAUGGAAAUCUGCAAUAAUAAACCAACAAGUUGAGCUGGCAGUCGCCCCUGAACAUGAAUACAGCAACCUUUACAUGAACAGGUAGCGUUGCUAUUGACAGGUAAAUCACUUUCACAACAGAGAUCAGUGGAGCAGUCAACAAGGUUUCACAGCUGGAUUUGUGCAUUAAUGUUGGUUUUACCAUAAAGACGUCCUCAAACAAGGUGGAUUCAGUUCAUUUUAAGCCAUAGAUCUUCUAUUUAAUGCAGGUGGAACCAAUCUGGCAUCAUUAAUUAGGGAAAAUACAGCUGUUUUAACACAAGGUAGAAUGGAAAUGUGUCACAUGAUGCUAAGAAAUGCAUUGAAUUUAUGUAAAGUCUUAAUGCAAA